rnacentral:misc_RNA from 1 species
GAUGAAGAACGUAGCGAAAUGCGAUAAGUAGUGUGAAUUGCAGAAUUCCGUGAAUCAUCGAAUCUUUGAACGCACAUUGCGCCUUCUGGUAUUCCGGAAGGCAUGCCUGUUCGAGAGUCAUUAACAACCGUUUCGAUCCCUUUCUUUCAGAAAUUACAAAGAGGAAAAGGGUUUGGUUAUGGUGGAGGAGGGAAAGGGAGCGUUUAGCCUGUAAAAAAAGAGGCUGUGUUCCGCCUCCCCCCCAAAAUUGUACAGGCGGUCGUGUGCGCCCACACAUCGAGGUGUUGUAAAAGCUGCCACGGCACUUUUCACCUGUGCAGUGCGAGAUUGGCCAGCCGGUUUAAAAACCCCUCCAAACAAUCAAAGGUUGACCUCGGAUCAGGUAGGGAUACCCGCUGAACUUAAGCAUAUCAAUAAGCGGAGGA